rnacentral:rRNA from 1 species
GACGUAGGGGGCAAGCGUUGUCCGGAAUCACUGGGCGUAAAGCGCACGUAGGCGGAUUCUUAAGUCAGGGGUGAAAUCCCGGAGCUCAACUCCGGAACUGCCUUUGAUACUGAGAGUCUCGAGUUCGGGAGAGGUGAGUGGAACUGCGAGUGUAGAGGUGAAAUUCGUAGAUAUUCGCAAGAACACCAGUGGCGAAGGCGGCUCACUGGCCCGAUACUGACGCUGAGGUGCGAAAGCGUGGGGAGCAAACAGG